GGAGGGAUGUCAGAGUGGUCGAAUGUGCUGCAUUCGAAAUGCAGUGUCCCUUUACCGGGACCGGGGGUUCGAAUCCCUCUCCCUCCG
rnacentral:tRNA from 1 species